AGGCUGAGAUGAGGUAAAAUAAAAUAGCAGAAAUACAUGGGAUCCCUCGUGAAGGCCGCCAACGAGUGGAGAGACCUCUUACCUGCUCCAACGACUAUUUACAGGCUAAUGCUCAAUCUCCUCUUUCACUGCCGCAAGGUAUCCCGAGUAUUACUGCAAUAGCGCUAGGGCGCUUUGAUGAUCUUUCUACCGUAUUUUAGGUGUCGAUGCUACGACGUCAAUGAACGCAUAUUUUUUUUACUGAUGGCACGAUUUUUGCGUUUUUCUACGUGUAGUUUAUUCUGCUUUGAUGUUGCUCCGUAUAUUUUUCAAUUGACGGAGACUGCUGGCAAAUAUUGAGGCAGGUCUUGACUUUAGGAAUGUUGACCAUUCCAUCUCGGUAAAAAUAUUUGAUUAAAUUAUUUACCGGGUAAUCUAUACAUUACAAAUCGAUAAAUAGAAUGAGAAUGAGAUGAAUUUAACAUGAAACCGAAACCGCCAUGGCGGCAGUGCCAACAUUUCUCGAAAUAAAGUGAGGGAAAGGGGCGCGUUUUAAGUGCUCGAAAAUAUCUUCAACAAGACCCACGGAAAUUAGAGAGUUAAAGCAGAUUUUUUAAUGAACGUAUGUCAAAAAUAUCGUUUAAUUAACAAUCAAUUGGUGACUUUCAGCCGAAAAAGUAGAUUUCUCUAAGCGGAUGGAGUAACGACCUGAGGUCGGUAGCCGGCAACCCUGAUCAAUUCCUUCAUUCGGCAACUAAUAAAAAGUUAAAUAGAGAUCUGAUAGAAGUUUCUUCUAAAUUAACUCGACGUCUGUUCAAAUCUGACGGAUCAAUGCCUUAAGAAUACUCGUGUCUUCUUCAUGAAAAAUGAAGACUUCAGUUAAAACGAAUUUGGGGGGCGUCAGGAUGGUGAACGCGGUGAUGAAGACACUGGUGCCACGUACACUCGGUAUAGGGGCUUAUGGAGAAGGAGGAUAACUGAAACUCGGGUGGGCCGCUUCCGCUCGCCGGAUUUACUUGCCUUUCGUUCUGUACUUCCUACGCGAUGAAACUUUGACAAACAUUUCCGGACCUCAGCUGCUCCUAACUUCUAAAGCAUGGAGGCAACGCCAAAAAAAAAAACAUAAGUCGACAAUUUCUUUUAAUAAUCGUCUCCUUUUAUCUCAUCGAGAUGUGAAAUCCGAAUUUUAUUUCGUUCAGAAUUCUCGUUUCAUUGAGUUCUCUAUACAAUUUCUUAUUUUAUCCCUCCUAUUCCGAUGGAAUCGGUAAAUAUUUUUAUUAUUAACUUUUUAUUAACUGAAUAAUUAUUUGUUUCCAAUUGAGAAGACAUUGUACUCUCGCAGAAAACUGAGGUCUUAAUAAGAUUUGAAUUAUAAAGAACUAUUUAGUGAUUCUGCGUUAAGAAGGAUUACUAAUCCUUGAAGGAUUAAUAAAUAAUUAAUAACAUAUAAUAGUUAAUAAAAGGAUUAUCGUUCUCAGCGUAAUUCAGGUUUUACAACAAAAUUCGACGGACCUGAUUGGAAAUCGCUUGAUAUUCACCUGGAGCGUGAUCAUAGCUUAAUCCAGUCGAUCUACAUACGUGACAUUACCGAUAACAAUAAACUCACAACCUUGGUGAUAAGAAAAAACGAGGAAAUGUUAGCGAGAAGAGCGAACAGCCUGACUGAAGCCAGAAACAGGCGGUUACCGAUAAAUUAAAUAACGCCCCUCAGAGAUUGUAUUUAAUGGAUUAGCGGCACAAUGUCAUUUAAUUCAACAGACAGAACUUAUGACAUUAUUACAAUCGAAAUGAAAUAAUUCUGCAUCAAAAUGGCGAAGCGGAAAUAAUUUUACAUAUUAAAUAAGAUGACCGUCAAAGCGAUGAUCAGAAAUCAUUGAAGGCACUGGUUGUACGUAAAAAGUACCCUGGACCAUAUCCGCAGUGGCAAUUUACAUUCUUCUCCAUCCAGUUCUCGUGAUUUUUAUUUUCUGUUUGCUUACCCCGCGAACCGAGGAGGGUGUUGAUCGCUAUCAAUUGUACCGACAACAUUCACUAACACACCCCGAUGGUAUAAUGUAUGCGUCCGCAUCAGUUUAAUACACGGAUCAUUGCGUUACAUGUACGUAGUCAUCAGCGAAGAUAGAGCUAGAAGUAGGAAGACCGUAAAGUCCUCUGUAAAGUGCAAUAGGAAGGCGAAAAGAGAUGGAGGAUGAAGUGUACACUGCACCUGCUUGCCUCGAGGCAACUCUUGCAUUCAGCUUAUUCUUGUUACGUACCUUCUCCUAGUUCAUCCAAUACGUGUAUUAAGAAGACGAACUGAUCUGGUUCUGAGGAAUAUCCUGGCAAGCUAAGUCGUCACAUCCUGGAUAAAUCCCAGCGAGAAUUUUUCGACUUGAGGAAGGUGUAACGGUUGAUACAUGUGAAUUGCUUAUAUUUUGGAUUAUUAUGAUCAGGCUAGUCCAGAGUAAUAGGAACGAGAUGAAGAAUCUAUUUAUUGACUAUCCAUAUUUACAAGUGAUAGUUUAACCGGAGUGUUCAAAAUAAAACGAUCGAACGUGAAUUCAUGGAUUAAUUCUCUGACGGACAUUAUUAAAAGUUAAAGACAAGUUAAAAAUUGUUUAGCUUCACUCAAUCAAUUGCCGAAAAUGUUAUUAUUUUUGUCAUUCCUAGAUCAUUAUUAUUUGAAAAAAAAUAAUAAAGACUUGGCCUUGACAAAAAAUGGAAAUAAUCAGAAAUGUGACUGAUGAUUAUCACUGAUCGGGGGAACAGAGCGUAAAAAUUGAUAAGAUGUUCAGUUAUUCGUUUUACCGUCAUACAUAUCGCUAGCGAUUUAUAGUUUGAAACAUAUAUAAAAAAGAGCUGACAGAACCCAAUUCAUUUUUUAUGAUUUGUUAUAGGAGGGCAAAUAAAAAAUAAAUGAAAAAAUAGGAUUUCCCGUAAUGUCCGAUAUUUUUCGAUUGAUUUGUUUGGAAAAUGUAACGGAAGUAAAAAUAAUUGUCGGAGAUAAAAACUGAGGCUCUAAUUAUGAAAUCCUCACUUCAAUCUGGAGGAAAGCAUUACGCGUCAAGCCUAACGAUUCAUCACUGACGAACCGUUUGCUUGAGAACACGGUAAGAGAAUAAAAACAGUUCUAUCAAAAGUUUCGACGAGUCUUGAGAGAAACUCAAGGAAUUGAGCGUGAGAGAGUCAGAGUUCGAUAAAAAAAAGAACUGAGAUAAUAAAGAAAGGAGCUAGAGUGAAGGAAACGCAGAGGAUAAACGAGGAAAGCGAAAUGAAACAAAUAUAAAGCUGGUUAGAGGUUCGAAAGAAUAAAGGGGAAAAAAAAUAAAAUAAAGAAGUAGGAUGGAAAGAUACAAUCAGGUAUCAAAGUUGAACGUGUGCACAGGGCAUAAGAUACACUCGUUGGAGAGAUACGUCAUUGUGAAGAGAUCUUCCCACCGUACAGGUUUUCAGUUUGCUGGAUGAGCAUUGGGCUUCUUCGAUAUUUUCUGCAAUUGCAAUUCACUGAAGAAAGAGUGGAGCUAAUGGUGAUGAUGAAUGAAAGUGGGGAUUUCAGUACUAAAAACGCAGAUAUAUAAAUAUUUUGAAAAUAAGAAACUCAAGACUAGAAAAUGGAAAUUCCAUCCGAUUUUAUAUUAUUUUCAUUACCUAUUUCAAUUAAUCUAUUAUUUUUUAAAAUAAUUAUUAAUGUGAAAUUCGAUAUCCAGAGUGCUUCAGCCCUUGGAGGUUUUGUUUUUCAUCGAAACUAAUUGCAUUAUCUCAUUGAUUAAAACAGUAAUAAAGUUGUUACCGGAUGAUUAACAACGAAUAAUUAACAAAUAAAUAACAAUGAAUAUAAUUGUUAGAAUACUGUUAAGACUGGUCCGCAUAAUUUGACCUUCUCAUCGUCUCCAAUUUCGCACAUUAAA